rnacentral:lncRNA from 1 species
CUCUAUCGUACAAAAAAAGUCCUAUCCUCCCGAUAUUACUUAGAUGAGUUCUAUAUAUUCCUUCAAAAUUUAUUCCACUGCCAAAUUUCAGCAUUUUUGUGUAACUUUUCAAGCGGUGAUGCCAUGUAACGCAGCAGCAGAUCCGUCUAAUGCCAUGCUGCAUACAAAUUAAUUGUUCACUUAGGAGCAACCAACAGAA